AGUAUGAUAUUUUACAGUGAUACUAUUUCUGCCAGAUUGUUAAGGUAUUGGAACUCAUUGGGAAGAAAGAAGGACUACAACUUCCAUCUGGAUUUGCUGCUCUUAUAGCAGAAAAGUCAAAUCGGAGUUUAAGGAGAGCUAUACUGUCAUUUCAGACUUGUCGUGUCCAACAGUAUCCCUUUACAAGCAAACAAGUAAUAUCCUCAAUGGAUUGGGAGGAAUAUGUUGCUGAACUAGCAUCUGACAUAAUGAAGGAGCAGAGUCCUAAAAGGCUGUUUCAGGUUCGAGGGAAGUUGUAUGAGCUACUUGUCAAUUGUAUUCCACCAGAGAUUAUCUUGAAGG